UAGCGAUAACAAGGCCCAAGCUUCAU
rnacentral:piRNA from 1 species